UAGGGAAUCUUCCACAAUGGACGAAAGUCUGAUGGAGCAACGCCGCGUGAGUGAAGAAGGGCUUCGGCUCGUAAACUCNGUUGUUAAAGAAGAACAUAUCUGAGAGUAACUGUUCAGGUAUUGACGGUAUUUAACCAGAAAGCCACGGCUAACUACGUGCCAG
rnacentral:rRNA from 1 species